UACGUAGGGUGCAAGCGUUGUCCGGAAUUAUUGGGCGUAAAGCGCGCGCAGGCGGUUUCUUAAGUCUGAUGUGAAAGCCCACGGCUCAACCGUGGAGGGUCAUUGGAAACUGGGGAACUUUGAGUGCAGAAGAGAAAAGCGGAAUUCCACGUGUAGCGGUGAAAUGCGUAGAGAUGUGGAGGAACACCAGUGGCGAAGGCGACUCUCUGGGCUGUAACUGACGCUGAGGCGCGAAAGCGUGGGGAGCAAACAGG
rnacentral:rRNA from 1 species